rnacentral:rRNA from 1 species
GACGAACGCUGGCGGCGUGCCUAAUACAUGCAAGUCGAGCGGACGAAUCGAAAGCUUGCUUUUGUUUCGUUAGCGGCGGACGGGUGAGUAACACGUGGGCAACCUGCCCUUUAGACGGGGAUAACACCGAGAAAUCGGUGCUAAUACCGGAUAACACGAAAUGUCGCAUGACGUUUCGUUGAAAGACGGCGCAAGCUGCCGCUACAGGAUGGGCCCGCGGCGCAUUAGCUAGUUGGUGAGGUAACGGCUCACCAAGGCGACGAUACGUAGCCGACCUGAGAGGGUGAUCGGCCACACUGGGACUGAGACACGGCCCAGACUCCUACGGGAGGCAGCAGUAGGGAAUCUUCCGCAAUGGACGAAAGUCUGACGGAGCAACGCCGCGUGAGCGAAGAAGGCCUUCGGGUCGUAAAGCUCUGUUGUUAGGGAAGAACAAGUAACGCAGUAACUGGCGUUACCGUGACGGUACCUAACGAGAAAGCCACGGCUAACUACGUG